CCUACGGGCGGCAGCAGUGGGGAAUAUUGGACAAUGGGGGCAACCCUGAUCCAGCCAUGCCGCGUGUGUGAAGAAGGCCCUCGGGUUGUAAAGCACUUUCAGUGAGGAAGAACGCCUGGUGGUUAAUACCCAUCAGGAAAGACAUCACUCACAGAAGAAGCACCGGCUAAAUCCGUGCCAGCAGCCGCGGUAAUACGGAGGGUGCGAGCGUUAAUCGGAAUUACUGGGCGUAAAGCGCGCGUAGGUGGCUUGAUAAGCCGGUUGUGAAAGCCCCGGGCUCAACCUGGGAACGGCAUCCGGAACUGUCAAGCUAGAGUGCAGGAGAGGAAGGUAGAAUUCCCGGUGUAGCGGUGAAAUGCGUAGAGAUCGGGAGGAAUACCAGUGGCGAAGGCGGCCUUCUGGACUGACACUGACACUGAGGUGCGAAAGCGUGGGUAGCAAACAGGAUUAGAUACCCCUGUAGUC
rnacentral:rRNA from 1 species